rnacentral:rRNA from 1 species
GACGAACCGUACAAACGUUAUUCGGAAUCACUGGGCUUAAAGGGUGCGUAGGCGGCGCGGAAAGUAGGGUGUGAAAUCCCUCGGCUCAACCGAGGAAUUGCGCCCUAAACUACCGUGCUCGAGGGAGAUAGAGGUGAGCGGAACUUAGGGUGGAGCGGUGAAAUGCGUUGAUAUCCUAAGGAACACCGGUGGCGAAAGCGGCUCACUGGAUCUCUUCUGACGCUGAGGCACGAAAGCUAGGGUAGCAAACGGG